UCUUGUAGCAAUACAAGUGAAGACCUAGUGGCGAACGGGUGAGGAACACGUGAGAAAUUUGCCCCGAACUUUGGGAUAACAGUUGGAAACGACUGCUAAUACCGAAUGCCGUUACGAAGUGGCAUCACUUUGUAACGAAAGAAUUUCGGUUCGGGAGAAUCUCGCGGCCUAUCAGCUUGUUGGUGAGGUAACGGCUCACCAAGGCUACGACGGGUAGCUGGUCUGAGAGGAUGAUCAGCCACACUGGGACUGAGACACGGCCCAGACUCCUACGGGAGGCAGCAGUGGGGAAUCUUGUGCAAUGGACGAAAGUCUGACACAGCCACGCCGCGUGCGGGAAGAAGGCCUUCGGGUUGUAAACCGCUUUCAGCAGGAACGAAAAUGACGGUACCUGCAGAAGAAGGAGCGGCCAACUACGUGCCAGCAGCCGCGGUGACACGUAGGCUCCAAGCGUUGUCCGGAUUUAUUGGGCGUAAAGAGCUCGUAGGCGGUUCAGCAAGUCGGGUGUGAAAACUCUGGGCUCAACCCAGAGCCUGCACCCGAAACUGCUGUGACUAGAGUUCGGUAGGGGAGUGGGGAAUUCCUAGUGUAGCGGUGAAAUGCGCAGAUAUUAGGAGGAACACCGAUGGCGAAGGCACCACUCUGGGCCGAAACUGACGCUGAGGAGCGAAANGCGUGGGUAGCAAACAGGANUAGAUACCCUGNUANUNCCACNGCCGUAAACGAUGGGCACUAGGUGUGGGUCUCUACCAACGA
rnacentral:rRNA from 1 species